GACGAACGCUGGCGGCGUGCCUAAUACAUGCAAGUUGAGCGCUGAAGGUUGGUACUUGUACCAACUGGAUGAGCAGCGCACGGGUGAGUAACGCGUGGGGAAUCUGCCUUUGAGCGGGGGACAACAUUUGGAAACGAAUGCUAAUACCGCAUAAAAACUUUAAACACAAGUUUUAAGUUUGAAAGAUGCAAUUGCAUCACUCAAAGAUGAUCCCGCGUUGUAUUAGCUAGUUGGUGAGGUAAAGGCGCACCAAGGCGAUGAUACAUAGCCGACCUGAGAGGGUGAUUGGCCACACUGGGACUGUGACACGGCACAAACUCCUUCGGGAGGCAGCAGUAGGGAAUCUUCAGCAAUGGACGAAAGUCUGACCGAGCAACGCCGCGGGAGUGAAGAAGGUUGUCGGAUCGGAAAACUCGGUUGGUAGAGAAGAACGUUGGUGAGAGUGGAAAGCUCAGCAAGUGACGGUAACUACCCAGAAAGGGACGGCUAACUACGUG
rnacentral:rRNA from 1 species